rnacentral:rRNA from 1 species
GACGAACGCUGGCGGCGUGCUUAACACAUGCAAGUCGAACGGAAAGGCCCUGCUUUUGUGGGGUGUUCGAGUGGCGAACGGGUGAGUAACACGUGAGUAACCUGCCCUUGACUUUGGGAUAACUUCAGGAAACUGGGGCUAAUACCGGAUAGGAGCUCCUGCUGCAUGUGGGGGGUGGGAAGUUUCGGCGGUUGGGGAUGGACUCGCGGCUUAUCAGCUUGUUGGUGGGGUAGUGGCUUACCAAGGCUUUGACGGGUAGCCGGCCUGAGAGGGUGACCGGCCACAUUGGGACUGAGAUACGGCCCAGACUCCUACGGGAGGCAGCAGUGGGGAAUAUUGCACAAUGGGCGGAAGCCUGAUGCAGCAACGCCGCGUGCGGGAUGACGGCCUUCGGGUUGUAAACCGCUUUCGCCUGUGACGAAGCGUGAGUGACGGUAAUGGGUAAAGAAGCACCGGCUAACUACGUG